CGGGACGGGUGAGUAAUGUCUGGGAAACUGCCUGAUGGAGGGGGAUAACUACUGGAAACGGUAGCUAAUACCGCAUAACGUCGCAAGACCAAAGAGGGGGACCUUCGGGCCUCUUGCCAUCGGAUGUGCCCAGAUGGGAUUAGCUAGUAGGUGGGGUAACGGCUCACCUAGGCGACGAUCCCUAGCUGGUCUGAGAGGAUGACCAGCCACGCUGGAACUGAGACACGGUCCAG
rnacentral:rRNA from 1 species